rnacentral:rRNA from 1 species
UACGUAGGUGGCAAGCGUUGUCCGGAUUUACUGGGCGUAAAGGGCGUGCAGGCGGUCUGUUAAGUUCAGGGUGAAAGCUCCCGGCUCAACUGGGAGAGGUCCUUGGAUACUGGCAGACUUGAGGGAGGUAGAGGAGAGUGGAAUUCCCGGUGUAGUGGUGAUAUGCGUAGAUAUCGGGAGGAACACCAGUGGCGAAGGCGGCUCUCUGGGACGGUACUGACGCUGAGACGCGAAAGCGUGGGGAGCGAACAGG